rnacentral:rRNA from 1 species
UACGUAGGGUGCGAGCGUUGUCCGGAAUUAUUGGGCGUAAAGAGCUUGUAGGCGGUUUGUCGCGUCUGCUGUGAAAUCUCAAGGCUCAACCUUGAGCUUGCAGUCGAUACUGGGCAGCUAGAGUUCGGUAGAGGGUGACGGAAUUCCCGGUGUAGCAGUGAAAUGCGUAGAUAUCGGGAGGAACAUCGAUGGCGAAGGCAAUCACCUGGGCCUGGACUGACACUGUGACACGAAAGCGUGGGUAGCAAACAGG